CUGAAAAUAAAUCACUCCAACAAUGCAAUAGUAAAACCUCCUGAGAUGACACCUCAGGCUGCAGCUAAGGAGUUAGAAGAAGUAAUGAAGCGAGUGCGGGAGGCUCAGUCAUUUAUCUCAGCAGCCAUUGAACCAGAACAACAGAAUCCUGCUUUUAAUUUGCAAAGGUUAUUUGAAAAUCAAGUGUAAUUAUUUUAACAGAACCUAAUACAAUCAAAUACUCAGUUGCCUUACCUCAUGAAGUUACUUUCCCAGCUUUCAAAAGCCAAGUAGCACUUUAGUUCCUUGGUUUCAACUUGAGUCUUUUUCACAUUAAUAGUGUGGAAUCUGUAAUCUGAAGACUAGAAAGGCCCUUUCUGCAAAUCAUAAAGCCUGGUUCGAUUAUGAAGCUGCUUAAUCAUCUUCGGGUGUUCAGAAUUAGCGUGUGUGUGUGUGUGUGUUUGCUUUUUUUUUGUCACUGUGUACAUUAAACUUUUGGAAAAUGCUUUACUAUGUAAAGUAUAGAUGGCCAUUUUAAUCACUUAGCCACAUACGGUUGGCUGGUAAACAGCUUAUUCUGAUACAGAAAUACUUGGACACCUGUGGAGAGAUUGUGAAGGAGUGUCUCACUUCAACCGCUGUCUUAUUUAUGAAAUGUAAGUAGAAUAGAGCAAAUGUUGGAAUCUUUGUUAUUUUUUAGUACCAUUUCUCUAAUAAAGUUGAGUAUUUUAGCGG
rnacentral:lncRNA from 1 species